GACGUGUCUGGGGAAAAAAAAAAACAGGUUCGCGCACUAAACCACAUAACCUUACUUCAGCCAAUCGGCAAUAGGGUAGGGGCUGGUCUUGGGUUUUGGCCAAUCAAAUUGAAUCAGUAGUCACUUCACGUGCGAUCAGUUUUUUGUGCGUUUUCCACACUGGCAGCGCGAAAUCUAGCCGAAGUCAUGGAGCGCAACUUUAUGAAGCCGGGGGAAGACACCAAACUUGUCGAUAAAGGCAUAAAGAAUAAAUGGCGCUGGUCUUGGAUAGAAGAGGUGGGUAGAGACGAAAAGCCCUUUGGAAGCUGGUGUCAAAAACUCCGGCAACCAGGAGCAUGUUUCUGCACUUUGUGUGCAAGGAAAAUAUUAUAUGGAACUAGCGGGAAAAAAGUGCUGCCACGGCACGAGUUAGACCCUAGUCAUCAAGCAGCUGUCCGAGCGAUUCAACACACCUCACGUUUGCCGGGGGCAACAGCCACAGCAGAUAUCCGACCCUCAAUGACCGAUCGUGUGGCUGAUUUAAAAAUUCGCUUGUGCUCCUUCAUUGCCGAGUUCGAUCUGUCAUUUACAAUCGCUCAUCCACUCGUCACUCUGUGUCAGAAAUUAGCGGAGGAUAAACUCGCCCUAACGCAUCUGUCUGUUUCGAGGCAGCAUGCGGGCUAUCUCAUUACACACGGCAUCUCGCCAGAAUUUAAAAGAAAUCUGUCCGACAAGCUUAAGAAUAGCAUGUUUUCACUUAAUAUUGAUGAGGCCACUGACAAAAGCAUGGAUAGAAUUCUAAAUGUACUGGUCCGAUUUUACGACGAGGAUGCAGGCAGUGUGAAAACACAGCACCUUGCAAGCAAAAAGGUUAAUGUUGCAAAUGCCUCAGAACUGAUGCUGCAACUAAAAGAUGUCCUGCAAUCAUAUGGGCUGGAGUGGAGACAAGUCACUAGCAUUCUUCUGGACAAUUGUGCUGUGAUGAGGGGAAAGAAAUCUGGGCUUGAAACGUUAGCAAGGAAGGAGAACCCUAAUCUCCUGGAUAUAUCAGGAGACACUGUUCACAUGGUGUCCAAUACUGCUAAGGCCCUUAUGGGACCCUUUGGCUCAGAUGUGGAAGAUUUUUGCUCUGAUAUUUAUUAUGACAUAGAGAAAUCACCUAAACAGAAGGAGAUUUUUGCACAGUUUCAAAGUUUACUCCACCUCCCCCCGAAGAGCUUGAUAAGGCCCAUCAGUAACAGAUUCAUUCAAAUGCUCGAGGUAUGCAACAGGAUGACUGAGCUCCUGGAUGUGCUCGUGGUGCACUACUAUCAUGUGCUGGAUCCGAAAGAAGAACACAAAUACAGGUAAUGCAAAUCAUUUUAACAACAACAAAUUUAGUGUCUUGUUUGUUUUAGUUUUAGCCCUUGUGGGAUGUAGGCCUAAUUAUGCACCAUAUUUUAUUAGUUUAGAAUGGUUAGUUGUUAUUCAGGAAGUAGUCCAUUUUAAUGCAGAUAUUACGGUGUGUAUACAUUUAUUUACAUAGUGUGUGUGUGCGUGUGUGUGUGUGUGCUACAGAAGGCUUCUGUAUCAAGUGUUUGAGAGACAUGAGCUCUCAGUUGAGGAAAAGGCCAGGAUACAAGUACUUCAGAAAGAGCAGGCAGUGGCAUCCCGAACAGGAACACAGGUUAACCGAGAUCGAAAGGCACGAAUCUCUGUGCUCAUUACAGAGUUUCAAAGAAUGAAGGUCAUGAUCGACUUAUUCAGAGGGGUCCUUCCAACAUUUCAGGGAUUUGCCAAAAAGCUUCAACAUGAAAAGCCGAUGGUGCAUUUGGUGCAUGUGGAAAUGGUGGCCCUUGUAAGAGAGC